rnacentral:lncRNA from 1 species
UUAUGUACUCAGACUGAUCUGUUUGCAUUUACCCAUCAAUAACACUGCUGUUGGUCCAGGACUAAGGGAAAUAUUUACUGACCUAAAAGAUUAUCAGCACGAUAUGCCAGUUCUCCAAAGUGGGAUGUAACAGAUCAUUGCUGAGGUUCAGAAAGAAACAGACAUUGUAUGCAUGCCUAUGCACAGAAAAUUUUUAUCUCAUUAUACAAAUUUGCUAUUUUGCAUAAUAGUACAUUAUAUAGUUAACAAAUAUACACAUGCUCUGACUUUGUUAUAUCAGAGCCUUUGUUUUUGCUUCUCUUGAGCUUAAAUUUCUCUCAGCUGUUGAAUACAGCUUUAAAAAAAUUUUUUAAUUCUCACUUUUUAAAAAAAUUUUGGUUUCCUAUCAAAAAAUAAACAAUCAUCUGAAUUUAGGUUGGUUCCACUGUCUGUGUAAAAAUUCUAGCUGGUAUGCAAACUCAAAUGGGAAGGAGAGGCUUGCUGAUUCUCC